rnacentral:rRNA from 1 species
AGCGAACAUUGGCGGUAGGCUUAACACAUGCAAGUCGAGCGAGGCUAAGAGCCGAGCGGCGAACGGGUGAGUAAUACUUGGGAAUCUACCCUGAAGUGGGGGACAACCGGCAGAAAUGCUGGCUAAUACCGCAUAAUCCACAUUGGGAAAGCGCGCUGCGCUUUAGGAUGAGCCCAAGCCUGAUUAGCUAGUUGGUGGGG